rnacentral:rRNA from 1 species
GAAUUUUAUAUAAAUUUAAUAUUAAGGUUUGUAAUGAUAUUUAUUAGGUUUAUAUUUUAUUGGGAGGAUAGUUAAAUUAAAUAAACUUUAAAAGUGAAAAUCCAUUAAUUUAUGAAUUAGGUAUUAAAGAAUAAUAAAAAUUUAAAUAGAAUUAAUUACCUUAGGGAUAACAGCGUUAUAUUUUUAGAGAGAUCUUAUUGAUAAAAAUGAUUGC